rnacentral:rRNA from 1 species
CCUACGGGGGGCAGCAGUGAGGAAUAUUGGUCAAUGGGCGGGAGCCUGAACCAGCCAAGUCGCGUGAGGGAAGACGGUCCUAUGGAUUGUAAACCUCUUUAGGCGGGGAGCAAUGCCGGGCACGUGUGCCCGGAGGGAGAGUACCCGCAGAAUAAGCAUCGGCUAACUCCGUGCCAGCAGCCGCGGUAAUACGGAGGAUGCGAGCGUUAUCCGGAUUUAUUGGGUUUAAAGGGUGCGUAGGCGGCAUAAUAAGUUAGAAGUGAAAUACCCAGAGCUUAACUCGGGUGCUGCUUCUAAGACUGUUGAGCUUGAGUGCGGGAGAGGUUAAUGGAAUUCCUAGUGUAGCGGUGGAAUGCGUAGAUAUUAGGAGGAACACCAGAGGCGAAGGCGAUUAACUGGACCGUAACUGACGCUGAGGCACGAAAGUGUGGGUAGCAAACAGGAUUAGAUACCCGAGUAGUC